rnacentral:rRNA from 1 species
UGGGGAAUAUUGGGCAAUGGAGGGAACUCUGACCCAGCGACGCCGCGUGCGGGAUGAAGGCCUUCGGGUUGUAAACCGCUUUCAGCAGGGAAGAAGCGAAAGUGACGGUACCUGCAGAAGAAGCACCGGCUAACUAUGUGCCAGCAGCCGCGGUAAUACAUAGGGUGCAAGCGUUGUCCGGAAUUAUUGGGCGUAAAGAGCUCGUAGGUGGUUCGUCACGUCGGAUGUGAAAAUCUGGGGCUUAACCCCAGACCUGCAUUCGAUACGGGCGAGCUAGAGUGUGGUAGGGGAGACUGGAAUUCCUGGUGUAGCGGUGGAAUGCGCAGAUAUCAGGAGGAACACCAAUGGCGAAGGCAGGUCUCUGGGCCAUUACUGACACUGAGGAGCGAAAGCGUGGGGAGCAAACAGGAUUAGAUACCCGUGUAGUCCCUGAGCGGGCUGGCAAGGCGCAU